GGCCUGAUCGCUCAACUGGUAGAACACUGCAACAGCAUUGCAGAGGUCAGGGUUCAAUUCCCCAUUCAGGCCU
rnacentral:tRNA from 1 species